AAGAGACGUACGCCUUCGGGGUAUACCUCCCACCCUUUGUUUAUAUUACCUGUGUUGCUUUGGCUGACCUGCCCUUGGGCUCCCGGCUUCGGCUGGGUCGUGUCAGCCAGAGGAAUAUCAAACUCUGAUUGUAUUUAUUGUCUGAGUAAUAACUUAAUAGUUA
rnacentral:misc_RNA from 1 species